CCGAACGGGAAUCGGAACACAGGUGCUGCAUGGCUGUCGUCAGCUCGUGUCGUGAGAUGUUGGUUAAGUCCGCACGAGCGCAACCCUUAUCAUUAGUUGCUACGCAAGGGCACUCUAAUGAGACUGCCGGUGGACAAACCCGGAGGAAGGUGGGGAGUGACGUCAAGUCCUCAUGGCCCUUAUGGGUAGGGCUUCACACGUCAUACAAUGGUCGGUACAGAGGGUUGCCAAGCCGCGAGGCGGAGCCAAUCCCACAAAGCCGAUCGUAGUCCGGAUUGUUCUCUGCAACUCGAGAGCAUGAAGUCGGAAUCGCUAGUAAUCGCAGGUCAGCAUACUGCGGUGAAUACGUUCCCGGGUCUU
rnacentral:rRNA from 1 species